UCUUAUGGAUGAGCAAAAGAAAGUGUUUCUAGAGAUAGAAUCUUCUCCAGGUGAAGAUUCUGUGAA
rnacentral:pre_miRNA from 1 species